AUUAGGUUGACCAAAAAGUUCGUUUUGGUUUUUCUGCACAAUCUUAUAAAAACCCAAACGACCUUUCUGACCAAUCCGAU
ensembl:miRNA